rnacentral:rRNA from 1 species
GAUGAACGCUGGCGGCGUGCCUAAUACAUGCAAGUCGAGCGAACAGACGAGGAGCUUGCUCCUCUGACGUUAGCGGCGGACGGGUGAGUAACACGUGGAUAACCUACCUAUAAGACUGGGAUAACUUCGGGAAACCGGAGCUAAUACCGGAUAAUAUAUUGAACCGCAUGGUUCAAUAGUGAAAGACGGUUUUGCUGUCACUUAUAGAUAGAUCCGCGCCGCACUAGCUAGUUGGUAAGGUAACGGCUUACCAAGGCAACGAUGCGUAGCCGACCUGAGAGGGAGGUCAGCCAGAAUGGAACUGAGAAACGGUCCAGACUCCUAACGGAGGCAGGCAUAGGGAAUCUUCCGAAAUUGGCCGAAGCCUUGCGGCACCAAGCCGGGGGAGUGGUAAAAGUCUUCCGAUUUUAAAACUAUGUUAUUAGGGAAGAAAAAAUGUGUAAGUAACUAUGCACGUCUUGAAGGUACCUAAUAAGAUAGACACGGCUAACUACGUG